CUUCCUUAUAAGUGUGGUUUAAAAAAACAAAACAUUUUUAAUAGUAAAAGAAUCCCAGGGGUUGUCAUCUUGGAAAGAACAUGAUGGGAUGAUGUCAGGUGGCCUCACAGGAAGAGUGUCCUAGAUGAAUACCACGCGGAUAGAUCUACACAGAAAUUAGCACCUACCCGGACACCAGCAAGACCAGCGUGACCUUUUUCUCCAGAUUCCUAGUCCUUGAAUUCUGUUGUCUAAGUUAUGAUCCAUCGCCCUGCAGCUCCAUAUACAACAAGGUACACCUGUGUCUGCAGAAGCAUGACUCGGGAGGUGGAUUUUCAGCAGGUGUACAGUGAGUGAUACACUGGACUCCAACUUUUAAUAUGAGAUCAACUGAAAUUAUAGGAAGAAAGGAGAUGAAGGAAAAAAAUUAUUGACAUUGAAUCUCAACUGUAUAACAGAUAUUGAAUUAAAUAAAUAUUAUUAA